AUUCAGCCGACGAGUCCCAAACAGGGCGAAACGCGCGUCCUGGAU
rnacentral:hammerhead_ribozyme from 1 species